AAAUGAACGGGACAAGAGACAGAAAAAGUACUCUGAGAAGCAAAAUGCAUUCCUGUUUGAUUUUGAGUGGAACAGUGAUAUAUGGUGCAUCGACGCAUCCCAUGAAGAUGGCUCCUUUGGCCGGCUGGUUAAUGAUGCCCAUAAAUCCCCAAACUGCAAAAUGAAAGAGUUAACUGUUCAGGGUAAACCUCAUCUGUGCUUGUUUGCAAUUGAAAACAUCCAGGAACAAAGUGAAAUAACAUACAACUAUGGGGACUCUCAGUGGCCAUGGCGAGCUCUGACAUCAAGUGUGGAGGUCUUGACUCCAUCUUCAGGAGAAGCACAAAAGACCGGGACAUGUACAUCUUCCCUCCAACAGGUUAAAUACACAUUUUUACUUCUAAUUAAACACUUGGACACAUCAAAGUUGUGUAAAAUCUAUCAACAAUUAGUCAUUUUUUAAAUAAUUUUACAAUUUCUCUAAAAUUAAUUGCAGGGAUAGCAUAAUCUAUCUGAUACAAACACUAGCAUCUCCCUACAGCUUAAUAUUUACACAAAACUCCUGGCAAACUUUGAAUAUUUUGUUGUUCGUACGACUGCUCUUGUCCAU